UAUAUAAUAAGCUAAAUAAAGCUAAUAGGUUCAUACCCUAUCGAUAAAUUAAAAAUUUUUAUAUAA
rnacentral:tRNA from 2 species